CAUGGCUCAGGACGAACGCUGGCGGCGUGCCUAAUACAUGCAAGUAGAACGCUGAAGCUUGGUGCUUGCACCGAGCGGAUGAGUUGCGAACGGGUGAGUAACGCGUAGGUAACCUGCCUGGUAGCGGGGGAUAACUAUUGGAAACGAUAGCUAAUACCGCAUAAGAGUAGAUGUCGCAUGACAUUUGCUUAAAAGGUGCAAUUGCAUCACUACCAGAUGGACCUGCGUUGUAUUAGCUAGUUGGUGAGGUAACGGCUCACCAAGGCAACGAUACAUAGCCGACCUGAGAGGGUGAUCGGCCACACUGGGACUGAGACACGGCCCAGACUCCUACGG
rnacentral:rRNA from 1 species